rnacentral:rRNA from 1 species
GACGGAGGAUGCAAGUGUUAUCCGGAAUCACUGGGCGUAAAGCGCGCGUAGGCGGAUUAGAAAGUUGGGGGUGAAAUCCCGGGGCUCAACCCCGGAACGGCCUCCAAAACUCCUGGUCUUGAGUUCGAGAGAGGUGAGUGGAAUUCCGAGUGUAGAGGUGAAAUUCGUAGAUAUUCGGAGGAACACCAGUGGCGAAGGCGGCUCACUGGCUCGAUACUGACGCUGAGGUGCGAAAGUGUGGGGAGCAAACAGG